AGUGAACGCUGGCGGUAGGCCUAACACAUGCAAGCCGAACAGCAGCACAGUAAGAGCUUGCUCUUACGGGUGGCGAGUGGCGGACGGGUGAGGAAUACAUCGGAAUCUACUUUUUCGUGGGGGAUAACGUAGGGAAACUUACGCUAAUACCGCAUACGACCUACGGGUGAAAGCAGGGGAUCUUCGGACCUUGCGCGAUUGAAUGAGCCGAUGUCGGAUUAGCUAGUUGGCGGGGUAAAGGCCCACCAAGGCGACGAUCCGUAGCUGGUCUGAGAGGAUGAUCAGCCACACUGGAACUGAGACACGGUCCAGACUCCUACGGGAGGCAGCAGUGGGGAAUAUUGGACAAUGGGCGCAAGCCUGAUCCAGCCAUACCGCGUGGGUGAAGAAGGCCUUCGGGUUGUAAAGCCCUCUUGUUGGGAAAGAAAAGCAGCAGGUUAAUACCCCGCUGUUCUGACGGUACCCAAAGAAUAAGCACCGGCUAACUUCGUG
rnacentral:rRNA from 1 species